rnacentral:tRNA from 1 species
GUGUGGCUCAGUGAUAGAGCUCUUGCCUAGCAUGCACAAGACCCUGGGUUCAAUCCCCAGCAC